GCUACAGUUUCUGAAAAUUAACUUUAUUAUCAACCAUGUGGAGGCUAACAAAAUGGACACUUACUCCAGCAGACGACAGAACAUUUGAAGGACUUGAGAGACCACUGACCCGAGAGAAACAGUGAGCAGAAUGAAAGGUUCCUGAGUUAGAGGCCUUGCAGCACAGCACAACAUGACAGAGUGGGUUUCCACAGAGAGGAGUGAGGACCACCCACCCUUUUGCCCAAUGGAGUCCAAUUUUCCUCACAACGCCUCAACAAAGAAUGUACUUUUCCCUAAGAACUGAGAGUAUCAUCAAUCAUGCCAAAUACCAAUUUUAAUGAAUGCCUACAUCAGCCCAGUAACACUCUUUGUUUCCAGGCAAAGGAUGCGAAGCUGCAGCACAACCAGAAUGCGAUUUUUAUAAUUGUGAUGAUUUUCUUUUCACCCAGGAGUGUUUUCAUGGUCACAAGCUUUGCUGUUGACUUCACUGACAGGCAGCCUGAUGACACUGUCCAGGCAGGCUCAUAUUGUGUAUUUACUUACAACCAUAAUUAUAAAAACUUGAAAAGC